UUAAAGCGCCCAACUCAUAAUUGGUAAAUUUGCGGGUUCAAUUCCUGCUGGAUGCACGCGAACGGGAACGUUCC
rnacentral:tRNA from 1 species